rnacentral:rRNA from 1 species
AUUGAACGCUGGCGGCAGGCCUAACACAUGCAAGUCGAACGGUAGCACAGAGAGCUUGCUCUCGGGUGACGAGUGGCGGACGGGUGAGUAACGUCUGGGAAACUGCCCGAUGGAGGGGGAUAACUACUGGAAACGGUAGCUAAUACCGCAUAACGUCGCAAGACCAAAGUGGGGGACCUUCGGGCCUCACACCAUCGGAUGUGCCCAGAUGGGAUUAGCUAGUAGGUGGGGUAAUGGCUCACCUAGGCGACGAUCCCUAGCUGGUCUGAGAGGAUGACCAGCCACACUGGAACUGAGACACGGGCCAGACUCCUACGGGAGGCAGCAGUGGGGAAUAUUGCACAAUGGGCGCAAGCCUGAUGCAGCCAUGCCGCGUGUAUGAAGAAGGCCUUCGGGUUGUAAAGUACUUUCAGCGGGGAGGAAGGCGGUGAAGUUAAUAACUUCACCGAUUGACGUUACCCGCAGAAGAAGCACCGGCUAACUCUGUGCCAGCCGCCGCAGUAA